rnacentral:ncRNA from 1 species
GGCUGGUCCUAAACAGGUUGGGACCAGAAUAAUCAACUCCGUGAAUUGCUGGAAACCCCUAACGUAAAGCCGAGGGCAAUCAGCCGCCAAGGCACACAGGAAUGUGUGCAAGGUUCAGAGACUAGGGUAUGGAGUCCAGAACGGACGGUAAAACCCCACGAGCGCGGAGCACCACAAGGUGAAGAUAUAGUCCAAACUAUAUGGAAACAUGUAG